CAGUAGCCGCGGGAAAACGUAGGGUGCAAGCGUUAAUCGGAAUUACUGGGCGUAAAGCGUGCGCAGGCGGUUCGCUAAGACAGAUGUGAAAUCCCCGGGCUUAACCUGGGAACUGCAUUUGUGACUGGCGGGCUAGAGUAUGGCAGAGGGGGGUAGAAUUCCACGUGUAGCAGUGAAAUGCGUAGAGACGUGGAGGAAUACCGAUGGCGAAGGCAGCCCCCUGGGCCAAUACUGACGCUUAUGCACGAAAGCGUGGGGAGCAAACAGGAUUAGAUACCCGGGUAGUCCCUGUCUCUUAUAA
rnacentral:rRNA from 1 species